rnacentral:rRNA from 1 species
GGGUUGUGAGGUUAAGCGACUAAGCGUACACGGUGGAUGCCCUGGCAGUCAGAGGCGAUGAAGGACGUGCUAAUCUGCGAAAAGCGCCGGCGAGGUGAUAUGAACCUUUGACCCGGCGAUGUCCGAAUGGGGAAACCCAGUGCAAUCCGUUGCACUAUCGUUAACUGAAUACAUAGGUUAACGAGGCGAACCGGGGGAACUGAAACAUCUAAGUACCCCGAGGAAAAGAAAUCAACCGAGAUUCCCCCAGUAGCGGCGAGCGAACGGGGAGCAGCCCGGAGUCUGAAUCAGCUUGUGUGUUAGUGGAACGGUCUGGAAAGUCCGACGGUACAGGGUGAUAGUCCCGUACACGAAAGCACACUUGCUGUGAACUCGAAGAGUAGGGCGGGACACGUGGUAUCCUGUCUGAAUAUGGGGGGACCAUCCUCCAAGGCUAAAUACUCCUGACUGACCGAUAGUGAACCAGUACCGUGAGGGAAAGGCGAAAAGAACCCCGGCGAGGGGAGUGAAAAAGAACCUGAAACCGUGUACGUACAAGCAGUGGGAGCCUCUUUAUGGGGUGACUGCGUACCUUUUGUAUAAUGGGUCAGCGACUUAUAUUCUGUAGCAAGGUUAACCGUAUAGGGGAGCCGAAGGGAAACCGAGUCUUAACUGGGCGUUAAGUUGCAGGGUAUAGACCCGAAACCCGGUGAUCUAGCCAUGGGCAGGUUGAAGGUUGGGUAACACUAACUGGAGGACCGAACCGACUAAUGUUGAAAAAUUAGCGGAUGACCUGUGGCUGGGGGUGAAAGGCCAAUCAAACCGGGAGAUAGCUGGUUCUCCCCGAAAGCUAUUUAGGUAGCGCCUCGUGAACUCAUCUUCGGGGGUAGAGCACUGUUUCGGCUAGGGGGCCAUCCCGGCUUACCAACCCGAUGCAAACUACGAAUACCGAAGAAUGUUAUCACGGGAGACACACGGCGGGUGCUAACGUCCGUCGUGAAGAGGGAAACAACCCAGACCGCCAGCUAAGGUCCCAAAGUCAUGGUUAAGUGGGAAACGAUGUGGGAAGGCACAGACAGCCAGGAUGUUGGCUUAGAAGCAGCCAUCAUUUAAAGAAAGCGUAAUAGCUCACUGGUCGAGUCGGCCUGCGCGGAAGAUGUAACGGGGCUAAACCAUGCACCGAAGCUGCGGCAGCGACGCUUAUGCGUUGUUGGGUAGGGGAGCGUUCUGUAAGCCGUUGAAGGUGUGCUGUGAGGCAUGCUGGAGGUAUCAGAAGUGCGAAUGCUGACAUAAGUAACGAUAAAGCGGGUGAAAAGCCCGCUCGCCGGAAGACCAAGGGUUCCUGUCCAACGUUAAUCGGGGCAGGGUGAGUCGACCCCUAAGGCGAGGCCGAAAGGCGUAGUCGAUGGGAAACAGGUUAAUAUUCCUGUACUUGGUGUUACUGCGAAGGGGGGACGGAGAAGGCUAUGUCAGCCGGGCGACGGUUGUCCCGGUUUAAGCAUGUAGGCGGAGGUUCCAGGUAAAUCCGGUACCUUAUUAACGCUGAGGUGUGAUGACGAGGCACUACGGUGCUGAAGUGAUAAAUGCCCUGCUUCCAGGAAAAGCCUCUAAGCAUCAGGUAACACGAAAUCGUACCCCAAACCGACACAGGUGGUCAGGUAGAGAAUACCAAGGCGCUUGAGAGAACUCGGGUGAAGGAACUAGGCAAAAUGGUGCCGUAACUUCGGGAGAAGGCACGCUGAUAUGUAGGUGAAGUCCCUGCGGACGGAGCUGAAAUCAGUCGAAGAUACCAGCUGGCUGCAACUGUUUAUUAAAAACACAGCACUGUGCAAACACGAAAGUGGACGUAUACGGUGUGACGCCUGCCCGGUGCCGGAAGGUUAAUUGAUGGGGUUAGCGGCAACGCGAAGCUCUUGAUCGAAGCCCCGGUAAACGGCGGCCGUAACUAUAACGGUCCUAAGGUAGCGAAAUUCCUUGUCGGGUAAGUUCCGACCUGCACGAAUGGCGUAAUGAUGGCCAGGCUGUCUCCACCCGAGACUCAGUGAAAUUGAACUCGCUGUGAAGAUGCAGUGUACCCGCGGCAAGACGGAAAGACCCCGUGAACCUUUACUAUAGCUUGACACUGAACACUGGUCCUUGAUGUGUAGGAUAGGUGGGAGGCUUUGAAGCGUGGACGCCAGUCUGCGUGGAGCCAACCUUGAAAUACCACCCUUUAAUGGCUGGUGUUCUAACGUAGACCCGUAAUCCGGGUUGCGGACAGUGUCUGGUGGGUAGUUUGACUGGGGCGGUCUCCUCCCAAAGAGUAACGGAGGAGCACGAAGGUUGGCUAAUCCUGGUCGGACAUCAGGAGGUUAGUGCAAUGGCAUAAGCCAGCUUGACUGCGAGCGUGACGGCGCGAGCAGGUGCGAAAGCAGGUCAUAGUGAUCCGGUGGUUCUGAAUGGAAGGGCCAUCGCUCAACGGAUAAAAGGUACUCCGGGGAUAACAGGCUGAUACCGCCCAAGAGUUCAUAUCGACGGCGGUGUUUGGCACCUCGAUGUCGGCUCAUCACAUCCUGGGGCUGAAGUAGGUCCCAAGGGUAUGGCUGUUCGCCAUUUAAAGUGGUACGCGAGCUGGGUUUAGAACGUCGUGAGACAGUUCGGUCCCUAUCUGCCGUGGGCGCUGGAGAAUUGAGGGGGGCUGCUCCUAGUACGAGAGGACCGGAGUGGACGCAUCACUGGUGUUCGGGUUGUCAUGCCAAUGGCACUGCCCGGUAGCUAAAUGCGGAAGAGAUAAGUGCUGAAAGCAUCUAAGCACGAAACUUGCCCCGAGAUGAGUUCUCCCU